CCGCGCCGCUCCGGCCCCACACGCGCACCUUCCCGACCCCCGCCCCGCCGCGCCCGCCUCGCGCUCUCCUCCAUCCGUGUCCGCGCCAACCCCUCAUCCGCCUCCUCCAUUGAUGCCGCAGCCUCCUCCACCUUCGCCGCCGUGGUUCCCCUUCUGCCCCACCUCCUCUCCCCCUCCGCUCCCGCCUCCGCCUCCUCAUCCCCCUCCCCCUCCCCGUCCGCCCCCGCGUCUUGCCCCGCCACCGUCUCGGCACCCCGUGCUGCCAUCCCGGUGGCCGUGGAGCUGACGUGCGGGAUGGUCGUUGGCUCGCGGGUGACCGUGGUGGCCCGGCCGAGGAGGAGGGACGGGGCGCCGUCGUCGUAGUUCAUGGCAGAGUUGCUGGGCACCAAGGCCGUGCAGGGGGAGGAGCCGCCCAGGAUUCUCCACCCCAGGAUCAGAGGCGACUUCAGCGGCCGCCUCGUCAUCGAGCUCAACGCCUGCUACUGCAUGAAGUGGGCGCUGCCGCAGCGCUGCGAGGGCCCGGCGUCCUGGCCCGACGACGACAGAGUUGAUGGGGAGCUCAAGUGUGAGAAAUGGACUCGGGAUGAUGGCCCCAAGACAAACAAAUCGUCAAACAUAAAGUGGUUGCUCAACAAUUUGAUCGGCAUGCCAGAGCCAGACAAGGUCUCUGUUGAUCAGGCAUACCCCUUUGCAGAGGGCAAGCUCUUUUUCCUAACCAUCACAGCCGGUCUCGAAGGCUACCAUGUCAAUGUCGAUGGCCGACAUAUUGCAUCCUUCCCUUACUGCACUGGUUACAACCUCGAGGAUGCGACAGGCCUGUCGUUGAACGGAGACCUUGACAUCGAGUCAAUUUCUGCCGGCCAUCUGCCCAAAUCACACCCUAGCUUCGACCCACAGCGAUACCUCAAAAUGUCUGAACAGUGGAAGGCCCCACCUCUGCCAACUGAACCUGUUGAGCUGUUCAUUGGCAUCCUUUCUGCAGCCAACCAUUUCGCGGAGUGGAUGGCCGUUCGCAAGUCAUGGAUGAUUGCUACAAGGAAAUCAUCUAAUAGUGUUGCCUGGUUUUUUUUCGCUCUGAAUGGGAAAAAAAGAGGUCAACGAGGAGCUGAAGAAGGAGGAAGAGUUCUUUGGUGACAUUGUUCUAGUCCUUUUCAUGGAUAGCUAUGACCUCGUUGUUUUAAAGACUAUUGCCAUUACUGAGUAUGGGGUGCGAGUUGUGCAAGCGAAAUACGUAAUGUAGUGUGACGACGACACAUUUGUUAGAAUCGACGCGGUGUUGGAUCAAGUGAAGAAAGUAAAGAAUGGGGCGAGCAUGUAUGUAGGGAACAUAAACUACUACCAGACCUUUGCGAUCUGGAAAGUGGGCUGUUACGUAUGACGGGGUGUUAGAAUUGACGUCGUGCUAUUUUUCCGUCAAAAAAACCAGAGUACUCGUACUGAGCUAUGUGUGUGUUUAUACUGAGGUAUUUUUCACAUAUUAAUUUUAAAUGGUUCCAAAAAAGAGUA